AAUCCACAAAUUGCAGGUAUCAAUUAUGUCCGAUCAAGAGAAGCUUGGGAGCAUAUGAUCUGUUUUAUUUCUUGGUAGUUGGAUAUGAAAAUCUUAAUUCUCAUUCAUGGAUCUUGCUGGCCAUAGGAAGUCCAUGGUUUCCUCUAUAGAAGUAUCAUAUUUUUUCCUCUAAAACGAAGCCAGUGGUGCAAAAGAGGUUUAAUUUUGGCAUUUGCAAAUGCACCGCAAGAAGAUGGAAAGAA